AUUGAACGCUGGCGGCAGGCUUAACACAUGCAAGUCGAGCGGAAGGCGGACGGGUGAGUACUGUCUGGGAACAUGCCUGGGGGAGGAGUAUGACUACUGGAAACGGUAACUAAUACCGCCUACCAUGAGAUGUGCCCAGAUGGGAUUAGCUAGGAGGUGGGGUAAUGGCUCACCUAGGCGACGAUCCCUAGCUGGUCUGAGAGGAGGACCAGCCACACUGGAACUGAGACACGGCCCAGACUCCUACGGGAGGCAGCAGUGGGGAAUAUUGCACAAUGGGCGCAAGCCUGAUGCAGCCAUGCCGCGUGUGCGAAGAAGGCCUUCGGGUUGUAAAGCACUUUCAGCGAGGAGGCGGUACUCGCAGAAGAAGCACCGGCUAACUCCGUGCCAGCAGCCGCGGUAAUUC
rnacentral:rRNA from 1 species